CAAUUUGUUUGUGACAAAUUCUCAUUUAAUUGUGACAAACUCAUACCUAAUUGCUCAGAAUUACUCAUUAUCGCAAGUCUGACUACAUCGUUGACAUUGGAAAACAAAAGACAACUAAUGUGUGAACAAUAAAUU
rnacentral:pre_miRNA from 13 species